rnacentral:rRNA from 1 species
AGCGGCGGACGGGUGAGUAACGCGUGGGUAACCUGCCCUAUACACACGGAUAACAUACCGAAAGGUAUGCUAAUACGAGAUAAUAUAAGAGAUUCACAUGGAUUUCUUAUCAAAGCUGAGGCGGUAUAGGAUGGACCCGCGUCUGAUUAGCUAGUUGGUAAGGUAACGGCUUACCAAGGCGGCGAUCAGUAGCCGACCUGAGAGGGUGAUCGGCCACAUUGGAACUGAGACACGGUCCAAACUCCUACGGGAGGCAGCAGUGGGGAAUAUUGCACAAUGGGCGAAAGCCUGAUGCAGCAACGCCGCGUGAGUGAUGAAGGCCUUCGGGUCGUAAAACUCUGUCCUCAAGGAAGAUAAUGACGGUACUUGAGGAGGAAGCCCCGGCUAACUACGUGCCAGCAGCCGCGGUGAUACGUAGGGGGCUAGCGUUAUCCGGAUUUACUGGGCGUAAAGGGUGCGUAGGUGGUCUCUUAAGUCAGGAGUGAAAGGCUACGGCUUAACCGUAGUAAGCUCUUGAAACUGGGAGACUUGAGUGCAGGAGAGGAAAGUGGAAUUCCUAGUGUAGCGGUGAAAUGCGUAGAUAUUAGGAGGAACACCAGUAGCGAAGGCGGCUUUCUGGACUGUAACUGACACUGAGGCACGAAAGCGUGGGGAGCAAACAGGAUUAGAUACCCUGGUAGUCCACGCCGUAAACGAUGAGUACUAGGUGU